GGUGAAGUGAUGUGUCAGCAUAAACCUAAGGCCGAUAAACUUGUUUUUCCCCUCCAGUUUAACUCAGAGACAUCAUCCCUGGUCAGAUAUUCCAGAGUAUGUUUCUGGGACAUAGGAAGAGCAGGGUAGGGCAGGGAGCAGGGGGAUGGCCAUUGGUUCUGAGUGGCUAUCAUCACACGAGUGCCCUUUCGUCAGCAGUUGCAGAAAGACAAAAAGAAAUUUUUAUCCUGGGACGAAAGCAGCUAAGUGACUGUCUCUGAAUAAGCAGAUAUUUAUGAUUUUUUUUCUUGCUUG
rnacentral:lncRNA from 1 species